GGGGUUGUAGCUCAGUGGUAGAGUGCUUGCCUGGCACACGUGAGGCACCGGUUCAAUCCUCAGCACCA
rnacentral:tRNA from 1 species